rnacentral:rRNA from 1 species
UACGGGGGGGGCAAGCGUUGUUCGGAAUUACUGGGCGUAAAGGGCUCGUAGGCGGCCAACUAAGUCAGACGUGAAAUCCCUCGGCUUAACCGGGGAACUGCGUCUGAUACUGGAUGGCUAGAGAUUGGGAGAGGGAUGCGGAAUUCCAGGUGUCGCGGUGAAAUGCGUAGAUAUCUGGAGGAACACCGGUGGCGAAGGCGGCAUCCUGGACCAACACUGACGCUGAUGCGCGAAAGCGUGGGGAGCAAACGGG